rnacentral:rRNA from 1 species
CGCACGGGUGAGUAACGCGUGGGUAAUCUACCUCCGACUCGGGGAUAACAUUGCGAAAGCGAUGCUAAUACCGGAUAAUAUCAAGAAUACUUCGGUUUUCUUGAUCAAAGGUGGCCUCUACAUGAAAGCUUUUGAUUGGAGAUGAGCCCGCGUACCAUUAGCUUGUUGGUGGGGUAAUGGCCUACCAAGGCUGCGAUGGUUAGCUGGUCUGAGAGGAUGAUCAGCCACACUGGAACUGACACACGGUCCAGACUCCUACGGGAGGCAGCAGUGAGGAAUUUUGCGCAAUGGGCGAAAGCCUGACGCAGCAACGCCGCGUGAGUGAUGAAGGCUUUCGGGUCGUAAAGCUCUGUCAAGUGGGAAGAACCUAUGUAAUGCUAAUAUCAUUAUAUACUGACGGUACCACUGAAGGAAGCACCGGCUAACUCCGUGCCAGCAGCCGCGGUAAUACGGGGGGUGCAAGCGUUAUUCGGAAUCAUUGGGCGUAAAGAGCACGUAGGCGGCCUGGUAAGUCAGAUGUGAAAGCCCGGGGCUUAACCCCGGAAGUGCAUUUGAUACUGCCAGGCUUGAGUAUGGGAGAGGGAAGUGGAAUUCCUGGUGUAGAGGUGAAAUUCGUAGAUAUCAGAGGAACACCGGUGGCGAAGGCGACUUCCUGGACCAAUACUGACGCUGAGGUGCGAAGGCGUGGGGAGCGAACAGGAUUAGAUACCC